rnacentral:SRP_RNA from 1 species
GCCGGGCGCAGUGGCGCGUGCCUGUAGUCCCAGCUAGUUGGGAGGCUGAGGUGGGAGGAUUGCUUGAGCCCAGGAGUUCUGGGCUGUCUGCACUAAGCCCAGAACUCCUGCACUAAGGAGUGCAGGAGUCUGCACUAAGUUCAGCAUCAAUAUGGUGACCUCCAGGGAGUAGAGGACCACCAGGUUGCUUAAGGAGGGGUGAACUGGCCCAGGUUGGAAACGGAGCAGGUCAAAACUCCCGUGCUGAUCAGUAGUGGGAUCAUGCCUGUGAAUAACCAUUGCACUCCAGCCUGAGUAACACAGUGAGGCCCCAUCUCUA